GACGAACGCUGGCGGCGUGCCUAAUACAUGCAAGUAGAACGCUGAAGGAGGAGCUUGCUUCUCUGGAUGAGUUGCGAACGGGUGAGUAACGCGUAGGUAACCUGCCUGGUAGCGGGGGAUAACUAUUGGAAACGAUAGCUAAUACCGCAUAAGAGUAGAUGUCGCAUGACAUUUGCUUAAAAGGUGCAAUUGCAUCACUACCAGAUGGACCUGCGUUGUAUUAGCUAGUUGGUGAGGUAACGGCUCACCAAGGCAACGAUACAUAGCCGACCUGAGAGGGUGAUCGGCCACACUGGGACUGAGACACGGCCCAGACUCCUACGGGAGGCAGCAGUAGGGAAUCUUCGGCAAUGGACGGAAGUCUGACCGAGCAACGCCGCGUGAGUGAAGAAGGUUUUCGGAUCGUAAAGCUCUGUUGUAAGAGAAGAACGAGUGUGAGAGUAGAAAGUUCACACUGUGACGGUAUCUUACCAGAAAGGGACGGCUAACUACGUG
rnacentral:rRNA from 1 species